rnacentral:rRNA from 1 species
CCUACGGGUGGCAGCAGUGAGGAAUAUUGGUCAAUGGGCGUAAGCCUGAACCAGCCAAGUCGCGUGAGGGAUGAAGGUUCUAUGGAUCGUAAACCUCUUUUAUAAGGGAAUAAAGUGCGGGACGUGUCCCGUUUUGUAUGUACCUUAUGAAUAAGGAUCGGCUAACUCCGUGCCAGCAGCCGCGGUAAUACGGAGGAUCCGAGCGUUAUCCGGAUUUAUUGGGUUUAAAGGGUGCGUAGGCGGCCUUUUAAGUCAGCGGUGAAAGUCUGUGGCUCAACCAUAGAAUUGCCGUUGAAACUGGGAGGCUUGAGUGUGUUUGAGGCAGGCGGAAUGCGUGGUGUAGCGGUGAAAUGCUUAGAUAUCACGCAGAACCCCGAUUGCGAAGGCAGCCUACCGGGCCAUGACUGACGCUGAUGCACGAAAGCGUGGGUAUCAAACAGGAUUAGAUACCCCUGUAGUC